GUGCUUGCUCCAGUAGCACAUAUACUAAAAUUGGAAUGAUACAGAGAAGAUUAGCUAUGGCCCCUGCGCAAGGAUGACACAUAAAUUCCACAUAAAUCUGUGAAGUGUUC
ensembl:snRNA U6 U6 spliceosomal RNA